UGCUAUAAUAAACAAUCUUUCUGCUUUCUACUUUGAGUGAUCUCUGAGUAGUCAUUUUGGAUAGGAGUCUUCCCAUCCCACACAACUGGGGGCUCUUCUAGAUCAGGGGUCUUUGGGGGAGACAGCUGUGGACCCCAAACCAGGGACAGGUGCUCCUUCAAAGUAGUGCUCUCCAUGGUCUCUGGCUCUGAGUGUGCAGCCUCCCUCCCUUCUUAGACAACAAGCAGAGGCAGAGGUACUCAGUGGAAAGCAGAAUUGAAGACUGAAGGAAGUAGAGUCCAGAUGGCCGGCAGUGCAGCUGAAAGAACUUUACACGUGUAACUCGAAGUAAAGCUCUCAGGAGUCUGAAGUCUGUUUGCUGGGUAGAAGGAGACCUGAAGAAUUAGCCUCCUAAAUUUGUUUUUGGUGAGGACUGCUGUUGAUCCCUACAAUAAAGGACUUUCCUGAGGAAGCUCUCGGAUGACUGUGGGGCAUGAAGGUAACGGUGACCUCUGCCGACACCUGGUUUGGGGCCAGGUUGAAAAAUGGGACAGAAGCCGUCCAAGGAUCUAUGUCAGGAUGUUAGCCAGGGAAUUCCAAUCGAUAGCCCUCUUGAGAAUCGACUUAAAGACUGGGAUGAUAUAAUUCCCAGAUAUAAAAGGGAAGAAAACUGGGAGGAUGUUCCCUGGACUAUUUGGUAUACCAGACUUAAAUCUGUAUUUAAAAGGUUAUUUUUACCUUCUGAAUCCAACUCUUCCUGUGCAACAAGAGAACUGUUCGGUUCUGCAAACAUAUAUUGUAUCUUGGAUAUACUGUGGCAUAUUUAACAGCACCUUUGCUCCCCUUCGGCCCCGGCUCCACUCGAUGACCCACUGUUAUUGUCCUGCCGGACAGGACAACUGGCGCCCAACGUGGGCCUCUAAGUGGACCUCGGCCCGACAUCGCCCCCGAGCAUUCCGCAAGAGAAAUUCACGGUCUCUACGGAACCCCCGUAAGGGUAGAGGUAAGUUUUCGCGAUUGUCGGUACUAUGGGAUCGCAUUUAUCUAAAGAACAAAUAUUCCUUAAAGACCUUAAAGGAAAUCUUAAGGAAAGAGGCAUAAAAGUAAAAAAGAAGGACCUUAUAAAAUUCUUUAUAUACAUAGAUAAGGUCUGUCCUUGGUUUAUUAUAAAUGGCCCUGAAAUACACCCCGGGAAAUGGCAGAAGGUUGGCCGAGACCUAAAACAAGAAGGGCCGAAUGUUGUAAAUGUUUUCCCCCUCUGGGCAUUAAUUAAUGAAGUCAUUGAAGGAGCCUCUAACAACGGCAAGAUUCGGCAAUUACCCCCGGGUCCUCAGAUAACUUGGGAAGACGCUGAGGGAAAUACGGGCACUGUCCGCCCUUACACUGUUCCUAAUCUACCUAUUAACCUAUGGGGAAGAGAUAUUCUCUCACAAAUGGGUAUUAUUAUGUACAGCCCCAAUUCUGUAGUCAUAAGACAAAUGCUAAGCCAGGGUUUUCUCCCCCAACAAGGAUUAGGGAAAAAUAACCAAGGUAUCAAUCAGCCUUUACAAGUACAGCCGUACCCUGGCCGUGCUGGCCUUGGUUUUCAGAACCAUUUUUUAUAAGGGCCACUGGUCCGCCCAGCCUGCAGGCGGACAAGAUCAAAAUACUCCAGUCUGGUUUGACCAGUGGCCCCUUUCCAAAGAAAAUAUGUUGCGCAGUCCAUAGAUCCUUUUCGCUUGAAAUACCCCAAACCUGCCACUAGACCUUAACCCUAAUUUCAUUUAGGUACCCCAAAGCUAGACCUCAACAUUUGGGGCACACUCAGAACCAAUCUGGGUUUUGAGCUGUUCAAGCAGUAUUCUUCCGGGAAGAAUCUGCAUUCUUUCUUUGGUCUCACUCUAUCUCUAAAGGUAGUAGGGAGAAUAUGCUUUGCUUGAAGAAACUCCCUCUGUCCAAAUCCUUUAGAGAGAGAAAGGCCCUUCCUUUGCAUCUCAAUGCAUUUCUAAUCUUUUUUUUCUGCCACCAGAUAGUCCUGCUCUCCAGCAGGAACUGUUGAGACACGAGAGGAAGUGUCUCUUUAACACCACCCCAGACCAAAGAGUGGUCAUGUGGCCGUUCUGGGGACCUUACCCUUUUCGGGGGUCCCAGGCCAGCGCUCUCUUUGCUCUGUUCUGGGGAGACAACCGGAGAAACAUAAGAGGAGCUGUGUUUGAGCCCUUCUCCCACUCCACUGUUAAAUGCAAUGGAGUCUCUAAUGGUCAGGCUGUAGCCACGAGGAGAAAGGUCACUAAAUUAGGGUGAGUUUAGAGAAUGUCUCUGCCCACGGCAGCUACUCCCUGGACAGGGGUAAGCAGUCUUCCCUUCAGGUUUUGCUCUCCCAGUAAGAUUUGGGGACUUAGAUGAGCUGCCCUGCCUUCAAGUUCCAGCGUGGAAUCGCCAGAGGAGCCCUCGCCAUUCAAGACGCACUACGCUGGGUAAGAUGGCAUCUCUUCCUCCCCCACCCUCGUUCUGGCCUCUCCUCCCCCUUCUUCCAUGGAGUAGGGAGUGUAGAACUCGAGGCCUGGU